GACUGCGUACCUUUUGUAUAAUGGGUCAGCGACUUACGUUGUGUUGCGAGCUUAACCGAAUAGGGGAGGCGUAGCGAAAGCGAGUCUGAUAAGGGCGUUUAGUAGCACGGCGUAGACCCGAAACCGGAUGAUCUAUCCAUGGCCAGGAUGAAGGUGCCGUAACAGGUACUGGAGGUCCGAACCCACUAACGUUGAAAAGUUAGGGGAUGAGCUGUGGAUAGGGGUGAAAGGCUAAACAAAUCCGGAAAUAGCUGGUUCUCCCCGAAAACUAUUUAGGUAGUGCGUCUUAUAUCACUGACGGGGGUAAAGCACUGUUAUGGCUAGGGGGUCAUCGCGACUUACCAAACCAUGGCAAACUCUGAAUACCGUCAAGUGCGAGUAAGGCAGACAGACAGUGGGUGCUAACGUCCAUUGUCAAGAGGGAAACAACCCAGACCGCCAGCUAAGGUCCCCAAGACACAGUUAAGUGGGAAACGAAGUGGGAAGGCAUAGACAGCUAGGAGGUUGGCUUAGAAGCAGCCACCCUUUAAAGAAAGCGUAAUAGCUCACUAGUCGAG
rnacentral:rRNA from 1 species